rnacentral:rRNA from 1 species
CGGAACUAACAGAUUUACUUCGGUAAUGACGUUAGGAAAGCGAGCGGCGGAUGGGUGAGUAACACGUGGGGAAUCUGCCCCAUAGUCUGGGAUACCACUUGGAAACAGGUGCUAAUACCGGAUAAGAAAGCAGAUCGCAUGAUCAGCUUUUAAAAGGCGGCGUAAGCUGUCGCUAUGGGAUGGCCCCGCGGUGCAUUAGCUAGUUGGUAAGGUAAAGGCUUACCAAGGCGAUGAUGCAUAGCCGAGUUGAGAGACUGAUCGGCCACAUUGGGACUGAGACACGGCCCAAACUCCUACGGGAGGCAGCAGUAGGGAAUCUUCCACAAUGGACGCAAGUCUGAUGGAGCAACGCCGCGUGAGUGAAGAAGGUUUUCGGAUCGUAAAGCUCUGUUGUUGGUGAAGAAGGAU